UAGGGAAUCUUCCGCAAUGGGCGAAAGCCUGACGGAGCAACGCCGCGUGAGUGAUGAAGGUCUUCGGAUCGUAAAACUCUGUUUUUAGGGAAGAACAAAUGUGUAAGUAACUAUGCACGUCUUGACGGUACCUAAUCAGAAAGCCACGGCUAACUACGUGCCAGCAGCCGCGGUAAUACGUAGGUGGCAAGCGUUAUCCGGAAUUAUUGGGCGUAAAGCGCGCGUAGGCGGUUUUUUAAGUCUGAUGUGAAAGCCCACGGCUCAACCGUGGAGGGUCGUUGGAAACUGGGAAACUUGAGUGCAGAAGAGGAAAGUGGAAUUCCAUGUGUAGCGGUGAAAUGCGCAGAGAUAUGGAGGAACACCAGUGGAGAAGGCGACUUUCUGGUCUGUAACUGACGCAGAUGUGCGAAAGCGUGGGAAUCAAACAGG
rnacentral:rRNA from 1 species